rnacentral:rRNA from 1 species
CGGGUGAGUAACACGUGAGCAACCUACCCUUCAGAGGGGGACAACAGUUGGAAACGACUGCUAAUACCGCAUAAGACCACGGUGUGGCAUCACACAAAGGUCAAAGGAGAAAUCCGCUGAAGGAUGGGCUCGCGUCCAAUUAGCUAGAUGGUGAGGUAACGGCCCACCAUGGCGACGAUCGGUAGCCGGACUGAGAGGUUGAACGGCCACAUUGGGACUGAGACACGGCCCAGACUCCUACGGGAGGCAGCAUG